GCUCUCGUAGAUCACCGGUAGAUCAUCCACGCGCGUUGAAAAGGCCGACAUCCGUUCUGUGGACGACAUGGGUUCGACUCCCAUCGAGGGCA